rnacentral:rRNA from 1 species
UACGAAGGAUGCAAGCGUUAUCCGGAUUCAUUGGGUUUAAAGGGAGCGUAGGUGGCCAAAUAAGUCAGUGGUGAAAUCUCUGGGCUUAACCCAGAAAUUGCCAUUGAUACUGUAUGGCUUGAGUGUAGUUGCCGUUGGCGGAAUAUGACAUGUAGUGGUGAAAUACAUAGAGAUGUCAUAGAACACCGAUUGCGAAGGCAGCUGACGAAACUAUAACUGACACUGAGGCUCGAAAGUGCGGGGAUCAAACAGG